rnacentral:rRNA from 1 species
UACAUGGGGUGCAAACGUUGCUCGGAAUCACUGGGCGUAAAGCGCACGUAGGCGGAUUGUUAAGUCAGGGGUGAAAUCCUGGAGCUCAACUCCAGAACUGCCUUUGAUACUGAAGAUCUUGAGUUCGGGAGAGGUGAGUGGAACUGCGAGUGUAGAGGUGAAAUUCGUAGAUAUUCGCAAGAACACCAGUGGCGAAGGCGGCUCACUGGCCCGAUACUGACGCUGAGGCACGAAAGCGUGGGGAGCAAACAGG